rnacentral:rRNA from 1 species
CGCCUAACACAUGCAAGUCGAACGAAGUAGCAAUACUUAGUGGCAGACGGGUGAGUAACAUGUAGGUAUCUGCCCUUUGGCCUGGAAUAACACGAGGAAACUUGUGCUAAUACUGGAUAAGUCUUUACGGAGAAAGCUUUAUGCACCAUUGGAUGAGCCUGCACUUGAUUAGUUUGUUGGUAGGGUAAUGGCCUACCAAGACUUUGAUCAAUAGCUGAUUUGAGAGGAUGAUCAGCCACAUUGGGACUGAGACACGGCCCAAACUCCUACGGGAGGCAGCAGUGGGGAAUCUUGCACAAUGGAGGAAACUCUGAUGCAGCGAUGCCGCGUGAGUGAAGAAGGCCCUUGGGUUGUAAAGCUCUUUCGUCGGGGAAGAAAAUGACUGUACCCGAAUAAGAAGGUCCGGCUAACUUCGUGCCAGCAGCCGCGGUAAUACGAAGGGACCUAGCGUAGUUCGGAAUUACUGGGCUUAAAGAGUUCGUAGGUGGUUGAAAAAGUUGGUGGUGAAAUCCCAGAGCUUAACUCUGGAACUGCCAUCAAAACUUUUCAGCUAGAGUUUGAUAGAGGAAAGCAGAAUUUCUAGUGUAGAGGUGAAAUUCGUAGAUAUUAGAAAGAAUACCAAUUGCGAAGGCAGCUUUCUGGAUCAUUACUGACACUGAGGAACGAAAGCAUGGGUAGCGAAGAGGAUUAGAUACCCUCGUAGUCCAUGCCGUAAACGAUGUGUGUUAGACGUUGGAAAUUUAUUUUCAGUGUCGCAGCGAAAGCGAUAAACACACCGCCUGGGGAGUACGACC